GCAGUGGCUGUCUUACAACAAACAAGAACAGGCCAAAGAAACCAGUCCUGCCAGGAAGACAUGAAGAUCUGUCAACCAGGUGACAGGUAACCGUGUUUCCACAAAGAUGUUCCAGGCCUGGAGUGGCACGCUGGAACKUCCAGAGGCUUGUAGACCUGAAGCAGUGUGAUGUUGUCCCGAUCUGCCACCCCCAGCAGUCCAGCAGUCCUCUGCUGUGGUAUUUAAUUUACCGGCUGCACCGGUUCCUACUACACUGACCGUGAAGGGAGAAUCUUUUGAGGAUUCCCAGAUGGAUACAGAUCUGCCAUGCACUCCACCACUGCCCCAGACAGCCUCACCCAGAAGUGCAUGCACCGGGCCUAUCACAACUGACAAAGCAGAGAUGGGUGGCUGACAAGGAAAAAUAAAGCACAACAUGCACACACACUCUCUCUCUGUCACACACACACACAUUAUCCCCAAUGUAAAUACAUUUUAAUUAUAUUAAUUUAGGAUUGGAGUUAUCUACGCCUACAUAUCCAUUAUCAAUA